rnacentral:lncRNA from 1 species
UGAUGUUGGUGUCGAUGCAAGCCAAAGGCCAAGAAGGGUUUCUCAUGAUGAUGAAAUGUUGAAGAAUUGAAGCAAAAUCCAGCCUUAAUUCUCUUGCAUGUGUAGAGAUUCUACAUCAAAAAGCUAUAUGAAACAUGUGGAACGUGUCAAGGAGAGCUCAAGCAUAGGAGGAUAACGGGUCAAGAUAAGGCAAGGUGACAAAUACACUUAUUGGAGUACUCAAGGUAAGUGAUUUCUAUAAUCACUUCUUUAGUUGUUUAAGUAAUAUAAUGUUUUAAUUAUUAAGUUCAUAUGAAGUUGAGGUCAAAUCAAUAGAUUAUUUUGAUAAAUGCACGAAUGGGUCGAAUAAUUCAUAGAUGAAUAACAAGCCGAAUACGUAUAAGUUAAGAAAUUCCUUAACUCGGAUGUUGGACUUCAAGAUCACAUGAUAGAAUAUUAAAUUACAAUCAUAUAGGAAGAAACGUGACGCAAAACGGAUGAAAAAUGAGAGAGUUAUGUCCGUUUCGGUAAGGAUUAAUGGCUAGGAAAAGUGCAGAGUUGACACGGCCGGGUGGUGAACUGACACGGCCGGGUGAAGGUUCUGUCAAAAAUAUUAUUUAUGUGAUUUAUGCGACGUAGGCUUCGGUAUAUUAUCCGUGAACUACGACGGGCCUCCCAAACAUGAUUUCGAGUGUUUCCUUGACGAUUAUAAGUUGUAAACCCAAGUCUAAGCCUCAUGUAAUAUAUAUAUAAGAGUGUGAUAGAUGUAUGUAAUGAAGUUGGACAUGUAUUACAUGUAAAUGUAUACAAAAAUACGUACGGAACACGUAAAUAUGAAUACAUGAUUGUAGGUAUGAUUAAAUGUAUAUUAGGUAUGUAGAUGUGUAUGAUUGUAAGUUUGUAUGUGUGCAAGUAUGUGCGAAUGCAUGAUUUGGAUGCAUUUGAGAAUUAGCGUUACUAAUAAUGCCCUUGGGUUUGGAAUAUAAGUUAAUUGGAUGCAUUUAAAUGGUUGACGUCCUUUUUAUGAAGAUGUAGUAAAUGAAUAUGUUGAGAUUACGGGUUUGGCUAACCAAGUUAUUUUUGAGUAUGUUUGAAAGUGCAGGUUAUGAAUGUCGGACUUUCGAAGUGUUGAUAUAAUAAUGAAACGGUUGAAUGUUGAAAGGAUAAUCGGAUUGAAGUAACUUAUGCGGUUAGAAUAUGCUAUGGACGUUUUAGUUUAUACAACAUUUUAUGUUUGGUCGUCAUCAUCUACCAACGGGUAAAUCCUCAAUUCAGGCGACUUGGAGAAUCGGAGCGAGCGCGUGUUCAUGUUAUGUCAUACCAAACGCUUCCGCUAGCCUGUUCAAAUGUUUUUAGUCCAAAAUUUGUUGUUUUGGUUCUUAGUAGUAUUUUGUCGAAUGAAUCGUAGAAUUGUAUCUAGUUUGUUUAUGUUUAAAACAGGGGUAUGCUCGUUUUAUGGACGGGUCAUGUCCGAUUUUUGUUAAAUUAUAGUAUGAUAAUAUCACAUUUAG